GCCUGGCUGGCUCAGUUGGUAGAACGUGUGACUCUUGAUCUUGGGGUUGUGGGUUUGAGCCCCACGUUGAGUG
rfam:Ailuropoda melanoleuca scaffold454_58, whole genome shotgun sequence.